GACGAACGCUGGCGGCGUGCUUAACACAUGCAAGUCGAACGGAAAGGCCCUGCUUUUGUGGGGUGCUCGAGUGGCGAACGGGUGAGUAACACGUGAGUAACCUGCCCUUGACUUUGGGAUAACUUCAGGAAACUGGGUCUAAUACCGGAUAGGAGCUCCUGCUGCAUGGUGGGGGUUGGAAAGUUUCGGCGGUUGGGGAUGGACUCGCGGCUUAUCAGCUUGUUGGUGGGGUAGUGGCUUACCAAGGCUUUGACGGGUAGCCAGCCUGAGAGGGUGACCGGCCACAUUGGGACUGAGAUACGGCCCAGACUCCUACGGGAGGCAGCAGUGGGGAAUAUUGCACAAUGGGCGGAAGCCUGAUGCAGCAACGCCGCGUGCGGGAUGACGGCCUUCGGGUUGUAAACCGCUUUCGCCUGUGACGAAGCGUGAGUGACGGUAAUGGGUAAAGAAGCACCGGCUAACUACGUG
rnacentral:rRNA from 1 species